rnacentral:rRNA from 1 species
CCCUUAGAUGUCCGGGGCCGCACGCGCGCUACACUGAAGGAAUCAGCGUGGCUUUCUCCCUGACCCGAAAGGGUUGGGAAACCCGUUGAAUCUCCUUCGUGAUAGGGAUUGGGGCUUGAAAUUGUUCCCCAUGAACGAGGAAUUCUCAGUAAGCGCGAGUCAUAAGCUCGCGUUGAUUACGUCCCUGCCCUUUGUACACACCGCCCGUCGCUACUACCGAUUGAACGGUUUAGUGAGGGCCUCGGAUUGGUCUCGGCCCGCUCUUUACCGGGCGGCGCCGUUGGUCGAGAAGACGCUCGAACUUGAUCGUUUAGAGGAAGUAAAAGUCGUAACA